UACAGACGGGGCAAGUGUUACUCAUCUUUAUUGGGCGUAAAGGGUGGAUAGGUUGCUCUAAAAAACUGGAUUUGAAAUGCUAGAAAAAAAUCUUUAGAAUGAGAUCCAUAGAUUGUAGAGCUAGAGUUAACGAGGGGUUGGAAGAAUUCUUUAUCAAACAGUAAUAUGUUUAGAAUUAAGGAGGAAUACCGGAGGCGAAGGCAUCUUUCUAUUUUUAACUGACACUGAACCACGAAGGCUGAGGUAAUCAACAGG
rnacentral:rRNA from 1 species